GUCAACAAGUAUGAAGCUGGCAAAUAGUCUGAACACAGUGCCUAGAGGGAGAGAGAGGCAUGGGAGAUCAAGCUGGGAUGGUAGGAGAGAAUUUCACCUUAAUAAAGUUUGACUAGGUAAUGGGUUCUUUUAUCAAAGGAGUAGCAUUUAUGUUACUGGAGUUUUAAAAACAUUUUCUUCUUUAAAAAAAGCAUAUAGCAGUAAUAUGUGAAAACUGUUUUUAAAAAAUUUAAGCAGUAUAGGGGCGCCUGGGUGGCUCAGUCGUUAAGCGUCUGCUUUCGGCUCAGGUCAUGAUCUCAGGGUCCUGGGAUCGAGCCCCGCAUCGGGCUCCCUGCUCAGCGGGAAGCCUGCUUCUCCCUCUCCCACUCCCCCUGCUUGUGUUCCCUCUCUCACUGCCUCUCUCUGUCAAAUAAAUAAAUAAAAUCUUUUAAAAAAAAAAAAAUUUAAGCAAUAUAGAGACUUGUGCCCAUGUUUUAUGUUUGCCUGUUGAAUAUUAAUUUUUAAUUAGUAGAAUGAGAAAAGCAAUCAGAAUGCAAUUGAAAAGAAUGAAAUCUAGGUUUAAAUCAUGAGCAUUAUAUGCAACUAUAUUCUUACUAGCAUGCUUUAUUGAAAAUGACCUUAAUAUUUUAAGACUGAGCUGCUUGUUACUGUCACUAAGGCAUACACCUUAAAUUGGUUAAGGCUUGGUGAUAAAUUUGUAAAGCUUCAUUCAUAAGCUUGUGCCUUGUUACCAAAAGGCCGUUGGUAGUCAUGUUUUAGGUGUCCUCCCUUGGGCCACAGAGUAAAGCGAUACUAAUUGAAUGGUACAUAUUUACCUAAGUAGUCUCUUUAAUAUUUGCUACUAUUAGGUGCAAUCAGAAGAUAUGUGACCAUUUAAGGAAUGUUUUCACAGAUGAACACCUAUAUUAAAGAAAUAUAAGGGAUUAAAAAAUGAUGGCAUUUAAAAUCCAAGGACUUUACCGUAGUCGAAUAUUAUCUGGCCUCUACUCCCCCAACUUCAUCUCCUACCUUCUCCGCCUCUUCAUUAUACAUAGCCACACUGGCUUCCUUUUUGUUCCUUGACCAUGCCAAACUUGUUCUUUUCUCACUUUUAUUUCUUGGUGUUACCACUGCCUAGAAUAUUCAUAUUUCAGGUCAACAUUACCUCCUCAGUGAGGUCUUUCUGAUCAUCCUUUUCUUUUGGUUACUUUACUCUCUUUUGUUUUCUCCUUUUUCUUAAUACUUGAAAUAAACACAUUUUUUUUUUCUAUUUAUUUGUUAUCUUUUUUCCACUUGAGUAUAAGCUCCAUGAGGGUAAGGAUACUGAAUAGUGAAAUCAUUCUUGCUCUUUAAGAUUCAAACAAUAGUGAAGUGGUUGGAACCCUCAUGCAAUGCUGGUAGACUGUAAAGUGAUGUGCAGUCUCUUUGGAAAACAGGAUGGCAGUUCCCUCAAAAUGUUAAACAUAGAGUUACCAUACGAGCCAGCCUUUCCAUUCAAGAGAAAUUAAAACGCGCCUGCACAAAAACUUGUACACAUGUUGAGAAGAACAUUAUUCAUAAGCAGAAAGUGAAAGUGCAAAUAUCAACUGAAUAGUAAAACGAGAUGUAUCUAUACAAUCAAAUAUUAUUUGGCAAUAAAAGAGAAUGAACUGAUACAUACCACAACAUGAAUCAGUUUCAAGAUUGUUAUGCUAAGCAGAAGAAGCCAGCUCAAAAGACCACAUUUUAUAUGAUUUCAUUUAUAUGAACUGUCCAUAAUAGGCAAUUCUAUAAGAGAAAGAGGAUAGAUAGAUUAUGGUUGCCUAGGAUUGGGAGGUGAGGGGGCAGUGGUUACAGGGCUCAGAGUGACUGCUAAUGGAGAUAAAGGUUACUUUUUAGAGUGAUUGUCCUAAAAUAAUCUAAUAAUGAUAAUGGUUGCACAACUCAGUAAAUAACCUAAACACUAAAUUCUACUCUUUGAAUGGGUGAACUAUGAUAUGUAGAUUAUAUCAACAAAACUUAAAAAAAAAAGAUUGAAGUAGUAAAAAGCAUAUAUAAUAUUUUGUCUUUACAUUUUAUAUUUAUCAUCUGGAUAGUAAGCAUUUAAAAAUAUUAGUGGAAUAAUUUAAUACUGCAGUUCUAGCUCCUAGAUAGUCCAGGAAUGGAGCAAGUGUUCAGUAAAUAGCUGAUGAAGGAGGUUAACCUGUACAGAAAAUUAUGAUACGAUGUAUAGUGUGAUAAAUGCUCAGAGGGAACUAAGCCAAGAGUUAUAUGGGUUUGAGGGCCUCCAAAAUACCACAUAUGGAUUCAUGUGAAGUGAAUGGGGAAAGGCCUCCUGUAGGAGGCAACAUUUCGGAUGGGCUUUGAUGUCUGGCUAGGCUUUUGCUGGUGGAGAUGAUGUGGUGGAAAGCAAGGCAUUAAGAAGGAAGCAGGCAGGAGCAGAGGCACAUUAACAGUUGCUAGCACAUUUUGGCUGAACUGAGGGUACAAGUAGGAUAGGAAUUGGAAAUAAGGCUGCAAAAAUAGAUUAGGGCCUGCAGCAGACAAUGUCCGUGCUGUCAGAUCUCUGGUGUCUUUAUCAUCCCCCCCAACCACUAGUAUGCUUCCAGGGGUGCUUCUCUAUUUGCAGAGCGCUGGAAGUGCUUGGGAGUUUAUUCCCUCACCCCUAACGAGACUCCAAUUCAGACUGUCCAGUCGAGAAUAACUUUGAAGCAGGGACUUUGACUUGUUCCUUUCUGUACCAUCAGCACCUGGAACGGUGUGCUUGGCACUCAGAGAGUAUGCAAAAACUAUUUGAAUGAAUGAAUGAAAACCAGGAAGGUGGAAGGUCUAUUCAAAGUGAAGUUUAUUUUACAGAUCCCCUUAACUCUUCCAGAGCACUCAGGAAAUUUUGGAAGGUUCUGAUUGUGAAGGUCUUUGAAUUUGGGUAUAAGGAAUUUACUUAGCUGGGAGAAGGGAUUUCUAGUAAUAUAAGUGUUUUGAUGAAAUUAUUUUGGUAGUAGUGUGCAGGAUGAGCUGGAGAAAGGAGGGAUUGUGUUCGUAGUGUCCACUCUCAUCUUCCUGUUCCUGCUCCCCCUCUCCCUUUGGGUUAGGCCUUAAACAGGGUGGAGUGUCUCCAGAAGUACAGAAAUAAUUUAAUAGCUCUCCUUGUCUCUAUUCUCUCCUUAAAUAGGGUGGUAGCAGCAGAAUACAAAGGAUGAGAUUUAAAAAAAAGGUAAAAUGGAAGAAAAAAUUGAAGAUGUCAGGAAGUAAAUACUCCUAAAAGAAAUAGGGAGGUUACAAAGCAUCGUUUUUUGUUGUUGUUGUUUGUUUUUUUGGUGAGAACAGACAAUUUUUGCUCCUAGGAUUGGUCAGACAGUAAACUAUUGCCCACCUGUAUGUGUAUGUGGGUGUGGCUUUUUGAAUACUAAAAUUGUACAUUGAAUCCAGAGACAAAUUUAAGGCUGUGAGACUGCCACCCUGUGGACAGUAUAACUUAAACCUAAUAUCGUCAAGAAUUCUAAUAAAACUUCAUUCAUUUGAAAUUCACUAUUUUAGAACUCAUUAUGGUUCUUCUAUAUCAGUAUAUGUGGGUUAUGGUAAUUAAAUGGCAAGUUGAAAUUUGUUUUCUGAACUUUUUCUGAGGCUUUUAAAUAAAGGAAAUUUAAAAUACAAUCAAUAGCUUUAGGAAGUUGCAAAGAAAUUUAAGAAUGCUUUUUAGAUACUUAUUUGCUCCAGAAAUUUCUUAUCAAAAAGUGUGUUUUUUAAAACAUUGUGGCGGGGACGCCUGGGUGGCUGAGUUGGGUAAGUAUCUGCCUUCAGCUCAGAUCAUGAUCUCAGGAUACUGGGAUUGAGUCCCGCAUCUGCUUCUCCCUCUGCCUGCAGCUCCCCGCCCCCCCCCACCCCCCGCUUGUGUGUUCUCUCGCUCUCUCACAUAAAUAAAUAAAUAAAUCUAAAAAAAACAAAAAAACAUUGUGGCAUGUUGUAAAAUAUUUUUUUCCUUCUUUUAUACUCAUUUUUUCAUCCAAUGUUAUAAUACAUAUGGUGCUGUUUUUGACAGUUGUAGCUCUUGAGAAAUAUUUGAAAAGUCUCCACCCUCCCCCUUCUUUGGCUAAGUGAAAGUGACCUUCCCUUCUCAUUUUUUGUAGAGUUGGAUUUUAUUGUUAGAAGUUCUCCAGACUAAAAAAAAAAGUUCUCCAGACUUCGAUAAAUUGCCUUAAGUGUAUUUAUGUAAAUAAUUUGGAUUUUAUUCAAUGUUACUUAUUUGGAAGGGCAGUCUGCUCACAAAUUAAACUGGUAAACUAGCUUGAAUCAAAAUGAAAUAGAGAUUGUGAAAGACUUAUUUGCUCUCUGCAACUCAGGAAAUGGUUCCGUCUAGAACUCGACAAAAUAAAACUUUCCUAGCAGAAGAGCUCUUUACAGCCCAAUGUUGUAAAUGGCUUGUAUUCCCUAAGGUGUCAGGAGGGGUGGAGUAGCCAUUUAGCGCUUGAAAUUUGUGUUAACAGUAAAGCAGAAGUGGGCUUAAGCGGCAUUCUGAGGUCAGCAAUUGUCUAUUCUUUCUGAAUGUGGUAUCUAGGCUGAGGAGGAGAGUGGGUGAAGUAUCAACUGGACCCCAGCCCCUUAAGUUACCUGAUACUUUAUCUUAAGGACCUUACAUUUUGGUAACGAAGAGAUUUUCAAAUAGAAUGUCAAUGAUUUUAAGUAAUUAAAUAUUUCUGAAUUUUUCUCAGAAGUAUAGCAUGGCACAUAUGAUGAUAUACUUUAAAUGGUUUUGUUUUAUUUAACCUUUUCAAAGUAAAUGAAUGGGACUGGGGGUAACUUUUCAUAAAUUUUUUUUGCAACAUUUAUAUCUUAUAUUCUACAGUUGAUGUAUACUCUAAUUUAUAUGAAGUAGACCAUGAAUCUUGAAAAUGCAAAUGUUUAUCUAGGUUUACAAGGUACAUUGCUGUAUAAAAAAACAGUAUUAUUUAGAUAUUAUUUAAGGUUUGGAAAGUAACUUUCAAAAUACUUCAUGGUUCAUUUGCUCCUUUCCUAAGUAUUGGGACAAAGAGCCAGUAAAGUUAGAGAUGUAUUUAUAGUUUUUAAUCUUUAGUGGUUUCAUUAUCAUAUCAUUUUUAAAACUGCAAAUGAUAUUGUACUUAUAUAAAGAAAAUUUUAGUUUGAUUUUUAGCCUGCACUUUGUUAUUGUACCGUAUCUGACUUUUUAUGCUGGAAUGGUGACUGUUUUAGGAUUAAUGGCAGUUAGCGUUUCCUUUUACUUCUCAGGGGGUUCAUUUUCACAAAUGUAAAUAUAAAAUAUUUUGUUCUCUGAAAAGUAAUUCCACUAUAGGUGACUUGAAUUUUGAUAAAGGAGUAACAAUGGUUUCGUAAGUUUUGUGUGCGCACCUGUAUGUGCAAAUUUAACAUUUUAUUUUUGAAUUCAGACUACUCACUAUUAAAUAAGUAACUUUGAUUUAAACUUUUUUUUUUUUUUUUUGCUUUAUUGUAGAUCUCUGGGAAGGUAUUUAGCUAGUGAUUUCUAUGUCCAGACAGUCCUACUAGACAAUCUUAAAUCUUUAUUUGUAGUUUAAUCUUUUAAUUUAGUAAAACUUUCUUUUGGAUUUAAAAUCCCAAGACCAGGAUACAUUUCUGAUUUAGGAUGUGUUGAUGUAUUGCUUUGUGUAUAGCUUUUUAUCUGUUUCCAGAUUUAAUUAAACAUUUAAUUCAAACUUCAAGGUUGUAAUGGGAGUUGUUUUACCCUAGCUUUCCUGACAUCUGUAUUUAUCACUGAUACUCCCUUAUGCCAAGGGAUACAGAUGACCCUAUUAACUGGGAAGGUUAGGGCCCUGCCACUCAAUCACCCACUGAGUAGGGCAGGCACUGACCCAGUUGUAAGAGCUGAAGUAGGAAGGAAGAGUGUGACAGAAAGAGAUUGACUGCAGACACAGUCCCAGCACUCUGGGAAGGUACACAGGUGUGGGUAAGAGUGAAGGGAAGUGUCAUGAUGGAAGGCAGAAUAUAGGCUUAAGGAGUUCCAAGCAGGCAGUUGGCAUCAGGGAAUUUCAGAUAUGAGUAGGAAUGCCAUUUGUUUUAUUUGUUUGUCCUUUUUUUUUUUUUUUUGCCACUGCACAUGAACCACAAUUUUAUUGUUCCUUAAAAUCCUGCUUUCAAAGACUGUCUCUUUUCCAUUUUCAUUAUUUUCUAGAAUGUCUUGGGUUAGUUUAUGGUGCAUGUUUUGAGGGGGCUUUUUACCACAGCUUUGUAGGAAAAAGAAAGCACAAAGUUUAUAUAAAAGCAAAACCUCAGACUCAAUAGAAUGGCUGCUAUAAAAAAAAAAAAGACAGGAAAUAACAAGUGUUGGAGAGAAUGUGGAGAAAUUGGAGCCCUUGUAUACUAUUCAUAGGAAUGUAAAAUGGUACAGCCACUGUGGAAAGCAUUAUGGUGGUUCCUCAAAAAAAUUUGAAAUAGUAUUACUGUCUGAUCCAGCAAUCCCAUUUCUGGCUAUACACCCCAAAGAACUAAAAGGAGAGUCUCAGGGAGACUCUAUACAUCUAUCUUCACAGCGACAUUAUUCACAAUAGUCAAAAGGUGGAAAUAACCCAAAUGUUCUUCAGUGGAUUAAUGGAUAAACAAAAUGUGUAUACAUACAGUGGAAUAUUUUUUCAGUCUUAAAAAGGAAGGAUAUUUUGCAAUUUGCUACAACAUGGAUGAACCUGGAGGACAUCAUGCUAAGUGAAAUAAACUAGUCACAAAAAGAUAAAUACUGCAUGAUUCCACUUGUGGUAUCAAGUGUAAUCGAAAUCAUAGAGACAAAUUGGAAUGAUGACAGCUAGGGGUUGGGGGAAGGGGGAAUUGGGAUAUAGAGUUUCAGUUUUACAAGAUGAAAAGAGUUCUGGAGAUGGGUUGCCCAGCAGUAUGAUUAUACUUAUUGCCACUGAACUGUAGAAUUAAAAAUGGUUAAGAUAAUAAAUUUUAUGUAUAUUUUACCAUAGUUUUUUUUUUAAAGGCAAAUUUGAAUUUAUAUUUGGAUGUGCAAGUGGUAAGAUUAUAAAAACCUCUGUAAUGAGAUUGAGGUUAUUAAUUUGGUUUAUAUUCACGUGUUAGGUGCUGGGGAUAGAACUAUGAAAAAAGCAGACAAAGAUCCUCAUAAAGGUUACAGUUUAGCGCAGGAGGCAGAUACUGACUGAACAAGUAAAAAGCGUGCUUGAAUGUUACAUGCAUACCAGGGAGACCCCUGACAAAGUAGGUGGAAAGGCUACACUGAAAAGGCUUCUCCAAGAAAAUGACAUUUAAAUAGAGACCUGAAGGAUGAGUAAGCAGUGGCUAGGAGGAAGAGAGGAGUGGAAAGGGAGGGGAGGCACGAGGGAGUAGCAUUUUGCAAAAGCUCCAAAGCAGGGCAAGGAAGGGUAUCCUUUGGGAGAUGAAAGAAGGCCCUGAGGGCUGUGAUGUAUGAAAAGUGGGGGGAGGUGACCAGGGCAUGUAUCAGAUUAUAUAAGUCAUUGUAGGCCAUUGCAAGGAUUUUGAAUGUUGAGGCGCUGGGGUGGCUCAGAUGGUUGAGCGUCUGCCUUUGGUUUAGGUCAUGAACUCUAGGUCCUGGGAUGGAGCCCCAAGUAGGGCUCCCUGCUAAGCAGGACGUCGUUUCUGCCUCUCCCUCUGCCCCUCCCCCUGCUCAUGCUCUCUCUCUCUCUGUAUCUCUCUGUCUCAAAUGAAUAAAUUAAAAAAAUCUUAAAAAAAAAAAAGGAUUUUGAAUGUUAAGCAGAGAUGGCAGAUGUUGAUGGGUUUUAAACCAGGGAGUAGGGAGGUGGAACGGAGUAGAAGGAGAAAAAUCCUUCAUCUUCUCUUACAAUGUGGCUUUUAAAUAUGAAUUACCUACUUAAUCUGGUGCUUGAAUGCCAGAGGGAAAAAUGGUUCAUUUAUAUUUAUUCAGAUGAUAUAUUGGUUGCCAGUGUGACCUGUUGAUGUGAUAAAACUUCAACAGUGAAUUUAAGGGGAUUGUCAAGGGCAAUUUAGCAGAGGUGAUUUUCACCUUUAUUCUCUGGCUUGGUAGUUGAAACCCCAGAAAUGGAUGGAUUUGCCCAGGGAGAGUUUGGAAAAAGAAGAGGGCUUUCAGUGGAAUCUUUAGAACCUCUUAUGUUCAGUGGUGAGGUAGUGGAGGUAGGGCAGAGAAAACUAAGGAAAAGUACUCCAGAAUUGGGGGAAAACCAGGAGAGAGCAUUUAUUAGGUCUAACAAAACAAGUUCCAAAAACAUUAAUUAGGUUUUCGCCCUGUGUGGUCAUUGAUUUUACAGAUUUAGUGGUUUAAUAGGGGUAGGAUUAGAUUAGAUUAGAUUAGAAUGAGUCAAAGAAUGAGAGGAAAGUGAAGAAAUGGAAUAUAGACAAAUCUUUGAGGAAGUUUGGCUGUGAAGGGAGUGAGAAAGAAUGGUAGAUGGGUUUGGGGUUGUCAAAUGAUUGGGAUUUGUUUCUAUGGAAAAGUGUGAAUUUAAAGAAUAUCUUUUUUGGAUCUAUGAGAUGCUUGAAAAAUAUAUUACACACCUUGCUGAUUUCCUAAAUAGGAUCUACCGAACACAAAUAUGACCUUCUCACGGACUUAAUCUAGAUAUGGCGUUCUACGUAUAUACAUCUACAUAUAUACAGGGCAGUCAGGCCUCUUGAGGUAUGGAGGUCUCUUUGUCACUAUACUAACUUCUGGUCAUCUGGGAAGUAAAAAUAGAGAAUCCUGAGUCCCACUUAAUCAAUUUGAACCUUAGCUAUAGGACUCAGGAAUGUAUGUUUGCACUGUGUACUUGUCUUCAGAGGAUUCUCAUGCAUCUGUUCUGUGAAUGGCCUUGGAGAACUGUUGCCCUGAGAACGCUCUACUUGGAAAUUUUCUGAAUGCUUUUUAAUAGCUCUAGCAUGACUUAUAUGAGAUACAUAUGGCAAGCACUUAGGAAGGAAAGAUUUUCAAAGUUUUGUCUUCUAGUAUGAUUGGGAUAGUGGUAAAAGUUUUUGAUUUUUUAGGAUGAAACGAGCUUGAUCCUUUUUCCUGACUUUCAAAGUGGUAAUAUGUUCCAGGUUAGUACUCUCUACCCGCUUUUCUUAUUUCUUCACUCCUUGCGCUCUAAGAAGCAUGGUGCUUACUCCUGCCGGAAUUGCCUUUGUUUGCUCCUAUAACUUCCUCUAUUAAUAGUAUUCCUCCCCAGCUUCUGCUGGAUACGACUGGCUCCUCAGCAUUCAGGUCUCAAAGCAGCUGUCCCAUAUUCAGAGAGGCUGUCCCUAUUGAAAGUAGGUUUUCUUGGUCACUAUGUUACUUUGCUGAUUUCCUUCAUCACAGUUCCUUCAGGGACUCUGCCUGAAUGUUAACAUGAAUCUAUAGGUAAACUGUAUCCUGAGUCUAUAGAAUAGUGCCAGGCACAUAGAAACUACUUAAAUACUGAAAAACAAAUAAUAAAGAUCAUAAAAAUCUUACACAGUAUAAAUACUGUUAACUUUCAGUUGGCCAUUACUUCAGAUACUGAAAUAAGGACCACACAGGCAUAGAUGUUGAUGUACGUGACAUGUACUGUUUAUAACUUGCAUAUGUCACUUACAUAUAUUCUGGAGUCUUUUUCAUGUCUACACCAUUUUAUACAGAUAAUCAUUCUUUUUUUUUUUAAGAUUUUAUUUAUUUAUUUGACAGAGAGAGACCUAGUGAGAGAGGGAACACAAGCAGGGGCAGAGGGAGAGGAGAAGCAGGCUUCCCGAGGAGCAGGGAGCCCGAUGCGGGCGGGACUCGAUCCCAGGACCCUGGGAUCCUGACCUGAGCCGAAGGCAGACGCUUAAUGAUUGAGCCAGAUGCCCCCAGAUAAUCAUUCUUAACAGAUGAAUAAUAUGGUCUGUUCAAUAUGAUGAGGUACAGUCACUAUAACAUCUGAUUUACAUGACAGUUCUUUUUUUUUAUACUUUUGAACGAUAGUGCUGAAUUUCUAUCUACAUCUUUGUGUAUUUUUUUUGUUAGAAUAAAUGCUUAGGAUUGAAACUGCUGGGUGAGAGGAUCUAUAUACAUAAAGCUUUUUGAUUGUGAAAUUGCCUGCUGGAAUUAUAUUCUUUUACAAAGCUCAUGAAUAGCGUAUGAGACCAUUUAUUUCCCCUGUACCCUCUCUAAUCAUUUUAUUCUUUGCUAUUUUAAUAGGUGAAAAACGGUAUUGUUUUUCUGCUUUAAGGUUUAGGAAUGAAUAUCUUUGAACAUUUUCUAUUGUGUUUCGCCACAUUUCUUUUGUGAAGUGCAUAUUCGUGCCCAGCGCCCAAUUUUUCUGUUAGAAUGUUUGAUUCAACAACAGUUUCCCCCCCAUAUUUUACUACACAGAUUUUUAAACAUACAGCAAAGAUGAAAUUUUGCUCAUGUAUCUGCCACUUAGAUUUUAUCAUUAACAUUUUAUAAUAUUUGCCUUACCAUACAUUUACUCUUUUAUCUAAAUUGCAGGUAUUAGUACAUUUCCAUCUGAAUACUUUAGCAUGCUUAGUAUUGACCAAUGUUUGUUUAGUUAUUUUUUUCUUUUGAGGUGAAAUUUAUAUAAAAUUAAAUGCAUGAAUCUUUUUACUUUGUUUUAUUUUUUAAAGAUUUUAUUUAUUUGUCAGAGAGAAGAAAGAGAGCGCAUAAGCAGGGGAAGUGGGAGGCAGAGGGAGAAGCAGGCUCCCUGCUGAGCAAGGAGCCCAAUGAGGGGGACUCUAUCCCAAGACCUUGGGAUCAUGACCUGAGCCGAAGGCAGACGCUUAACUGCUUAAUCAGCUAAGCCACCCAGGCAUCCCUAAAUGUUUUAUUUUAAUUUAAAACAGAAUUGGAAGGGGCGCCUGGGUGGCUCAGUCGUUAAGUGUCUGAGUUCGGCUUGGUUCGUGAUCCCAGGGUCCUGGGAUUCAGUCCUGCAUCAGGCUCACUGCUCCACCGGAAGUCUGCUUGUCCCUUUUCCUGUGCCCUGUUCAUGCUUUCUGUUUCUCUCUCAAAUAAAUAAAAUCUUGAAAAAAAAAUUAAAAUAAAACAAAACAGAAUUGGGUGUUCAUUGGUCAAGGUUUUUUAAUGUGAGAACACACACACACACACACACACACGGGGAGGGGAGGCAGAGGGAAAGAACCUCAAGCAGACUCCGUGCUGAGUGUGGAGCCUGACGCAGGGCUGGAUCCUGACCCUGAUCUCAUGACCUGAGCUGAAAUCAAGUCGGAUGCUUAACCGACUGAGCGACCCAGGCCCCCCAUUGAUCAAGAUUUUGAUAAAGAGACCAAGGUUUCUGUCAGAGUGAGCCCACUGAGGCAGCUCCACGUUGUAGGGUCUUUCUUACACACCCACAAGAUGUUGCCUAAUAGUUCUAGUUUUGAUUUUGUAAGUGGAGCAUGAACUUUAUUUUUGUAAGUAUUUGUGGAGUUUCAGUGUAUGUAUUUGGCUGUGGAAGCCAAACCCAAGACUAGCUUUUGUUUUGUUUUCUUUUUUUUUUAUAGGACUUUUGGUCACAUUUUCUCCUUCUUUUUUCUUUGCCUUAGCUUUGGUUAUAGUGGUUUUAAAUUUUUAGUAGUCAGAUGUCAUCCUUUUCCUUAUCUUUCUACUGCCAUUUGUGUCAUACAUAGGAAGACAUUUCUUACCAAAUAAUAUACAGAUGUUUAUAUUUUCUUCUGGUGCUUUUCCUUUUUUUACAUUUGAGUAUCUAGUUGGAAUAAUGUGGUAUAGGGAUUUUUUUUUUAAAAGAUUAACAGUGGUUUGAGAUCAUUAGCAAAUACUGUCUAAUGAACAGUCUUCCCUUCUGUGUGUCUUUUUCUGCAACAAAAUAGAAUUUAAUGUUUUUAUUGAUGCCAUUUUUUAAAUAAAGAUUUAAUUUUUAAGUAAUCUCUACACCCAGUGUGGGGCUUGAACUCACAACCCAAGGUCAAGAGUUGCAUGCUCUGCUGACUGAGCCAGCCAGGUGUCCCUGAUGUCAUUUUUAUUAUAAUCUAUGUUUGUAUAUAGUAUCUGCUUUCUGUUUUUGAAAGUAUCAGAUGUCUUUUUUUUUUUUUUUUAAUUGGGCUCCAUUCUGGGCUUGAACUCACAAACCUGAGAUCAAGACCUUAGCUGAGAUGAAGAGUCAGAUGCUUAACUGACUGAGCCAGCCAGGCACCCCAAGAGUAUUAGAUGUCUUUUUAAAAAAUACCCUAUUCUAUUUAAUCUCUCUAUUCUUACAUUUAGAUACUUGAGAUAAUUUAUUGCCCACAGGCAUAUUGUUUUUCACUAUUUUGUUUUUUAAGGUUUCAUCACUUACAUAUUGUUUCUUUCAGCUGAACUUUAGCAGAGUCUUGAAGAAUGGGGAGAAAGGAUAGUGGGGAAACAGUAACAAGAGUCAAGGCAGGAGAGGUUGAUCAGAGCUGACUCAGCUGGGGCGAGAUACAUAAUCUCAGGUGGCUUCACUCACAUGGCUGGGGGCCUCUCUGUGUAGUUCUCAUACCUUACUGGUGGCAGGAGGGAUCCCAGCAGCAAGAAGGUAAGCCCCUGUGUCCUUAUACUUUUUAGACCUGUGCUCGUGUUUUGUUAUUAUUCCACUGGCCAGAGCAUAUCCCUUGGCCUAGCCCAUAUUUAAGUGAUGGAGAAGUAGACUGUGCUUCUUGAUGGGAGAAGAGGCAGAGUCAUAUUUCAAACUGAGAAGUCUGAACAACUUAGUACCUAUUACUACAGUGGUUUACCACAGGAAGUAAAGGGGUUAGCUACCUGGAUAUCUAACAGAAAAGCCUCCCUGGCAGAAGAGACUGUGCACAGACCUAGAGGGGAAGAAUGCUUGAUAUGUUCCUGGGAUAGCAAGGAGAGGUCAGUGGGACUAGAAGAGAGGGAGCGAGCAGGAAGUAGUAGGAGAUACAGUCAUAGAGGUUCGGGCCAGGGUAGGAUCUUGUCCUUGUAAGCUGUUAUGAAGACUUACUUUUUUGUGUGAAAAGAGGAGCUAAGGCGUUUUAAAGAGGAGUUUUAAAGUAGGAGAGUGAUAGAAUCUGACUUGUGUUUUUAAAUAGAUUACUGCUGGCUACUGCUUUGAGACUAGAUUGUAGGGAAAGAAGAAGAGAAGCAGGAGGGCUCCUUAGACUACUACAGGGAUGCAGAUAAGAGCGGACAACAGCUGGCAGCACGAUAGUAACAAUGAAGUGGAUUGAUUCUCGGAUUCUAUAUAUGUUUUGAAGAUUGAGCCUACAGGAUUUUUUGACAUAUUGGAUAUGACUUUAGGACAGAAAGACGAGUCGGUAGCCAAGGUUUUGGUGUGAGCAGCUAGGAGUAUUCACUCUCCACCAGGACAACUGGAGAAAACUGGGUAGAGUAGGUUUUGGAGAAAAGACCAGGAAUUCAGGUUUGGAUCUGUUAAAUUUGAGAAGACUAUGACAUUUGAAUGGAGGUGUCAAGUUGGAUAGAAGAGUCGAGUUCAGGAGCAACACCUGGAGAUAGAAAUUGGAGAACAUUGGGGGUACUGAGGUGGCUCAGUUGGUUAAGUGUCUGACUCUUGGUCUCAGCUCAGAUCUUGAUCUCAGGGUCUUGAUCUCGAGGUUGUGAGUUCAGGCCCCACGUUGGGCUCCAAGCUGGGUGUGGAACCUACCUAAAAAAGAGAGAGAGAGAGAAAAAAGAGAAAUUUGAGAACAUUGAAUGAAAUACUGAGAGCGUUAUGUAUGUCUAAGGAGUAUUUCCUGAAAUGACUAUAAGUUUAAAAUACUUUUAAGUUUUAAAAGUUUCAUUUGUACCAGUGGUGUGGUUUGAAGUAGGGAAGAAGAGUGGCAGAGCAUCCUUUAUGAUGAUAGUAAACUAUGAGCUUAAAGAAGUCAUUAAUUGUUCCAUCUGUUCAGUAUUACGAAACAUGAAAGCCUCUAGGCUAAAUAUCUUAUUUGAAUAUUCCUUUUUGCUGAAACAUUUACCAGUUUGUUUCUAAUUAGGGAAGUUUAUUGACCGAAGGCUGUGUAAGUAAAGGCCUGAAAGGGACAGAAGACCAAAAGUUGAGGAAAAGAACCAUGAUUGGAUCAUCAGUCCUACUCUUUAGAGAGUUUUUCUUUUUUGUUCACUCCUUUGCUCUCUGUCUCUCUCCCUUUACUCAUUGUCUAUUAACAUAAUGAGAUGUUCAGGUGUAAGCACAGGGACUAACCCAGAAACUGUUCUCUCUCAACAAAUGUAAAGCUUACUGCUCCAGCCUUGAUCACCAGACAGGGCUGCCAGACCAAGCCUUAGCCAACCUAUUCAUAGAUCCGGACUGUUCAGGAAAGUGAAGAAGGGGCCUUGCUUUUUGUGUAAUUUAGAC